GAGGGUUUUUGGUCUAGUAUGGUUCAGACUGGUCGAGUAUUGUUCAGACCUUUGGUUAAGUAUGGUUUAGACUGGAAAAAUAGGUCGAGUACAUGUCAAGAAUGGGUUAAGACUGUUUCAGACUGGUCGAGUAAUAGUUCAGACUAUUUUCAACAGCAAAGAUAAGGGUCAAGUAUGAUUCAGUACAGUCAAGUAUGGUUCAGACUGG
rnacentral:lncRNA from 1 species